UACGGAGGGUGCGAGCGUUGUCCGGAAUCACUGGGCGUAAAGGGCGCGUAGGCGGCCUGAUAAGUAGGGGGUGAAAUCCUGCGGCUUAACCGCAGGGCUGCCUUCUAAACUGUCAGGCUUGAGCACAGUAGAGGCAGGUGGAAUUCCCGGUGUAGCGGUGGAAUGCGUAGAGAUCGGGAAGAACAUCAGUGGCGAAGGCGGCCUGCUGGGCUGUUGCUGGACGCUGAGGCGCGACAGCGUGGGGAGCAAACAGGG
rnacentral:rRNA from 1 species